CUACGGGUUGCUGCAGUCGAGAAUCUUUAGCAAUGGACGAAAGUCUGACUAUGCGACGCCGCGUGCAGGAUGAAGGUUUUCGGAUCGUAAACUGCUUUUGUCAGGAAAGAAAAUUCUGCCGUAAAAUAUACGGCGGGACUGACGGUACCUGACGAAUAAGCCACGGCCAACUCCGUGCCAGCAGCCGCGGUAAUACGGAGGUGGCAAGCGUUACUCGGAAUCAUUGGGUGUAAAGGGCAAGUAGGCGGUCUAUUAAGUGAGGGGUGAAAUCUUCCGACUCAAUCGGAAAACUGCCUUUCAAACUAAUAGACUUGAGACUGGAAGAGGGAAAUGGAAUUAGCAGUGUAAGGGUGAAAUCUGUAGAUAUUGCUAAGAACACCAGCGGCGAAGGCGAUUUCCUGGUCCAAGUCUGACGCUAAAUUGCGAAAGCUAGGGGAGCGAACAGGAUUAGAUACCCUCGUAGUC
rnacentral:rRNA from 1 species